UUAAUUGAAGAGUUUGAUCAUGGCUCAGAUUGAACGCUGGCGGCAGGCCUAACACAUGCAAGUCGGGCGGUAACAGGGAGAAGCUUGCUUCUCUGCUGACGAGCGGCGGACGGGUGAGUAAUGUAUGGGGAUCUGCCUGAUGGCGGGGGAUAACUACUGGAAACGGUAGCUAAUACCGCAUAAUGUCUUCGGACCAAAGCGGGGGACCUCCGGGCCUCGCGCCAUCAGAUGAACCCAUAUGGGAUUAGCUAGUAGGUGAGGUAACGGCUUACCUAGGCGACGAUCCCUAGCUGGUCUGAGAGGAUGAUCAGCCACACUGGGACUGAGACACGGCCCAGACUCCUACGGGAGGCAGCAGUGGGGAAUAUUGCACAAUGGGCGCAAGCCUGAUGCAGCCAUGCCGCGUGUAUGAAGAAGGCCUUCGGGUUGUAAAGUACUUUCAGUCGGGAGGAAGGUG
rnacentral:rRNA from 1 species